UGGCUCAGGAUGAACGCUGGCGGCGUGCCUAACACAUGCAAGUCGAACGGAGUUCUUAAGGAAUGCGGCUUCGGCUAAAUGACUUUUGAACUUAGUGGCGGACGGGUGAGUAACGCGUGAGCAACCUGCCUUUCAGAGGGGGAUAACAUUUGGAAACAGAUGCUAAUACCGCAUAAGAUUACAGUACCGCAUGAUACAGUGAUCAAAGGAGCAAUCCGCUGAAAGAUGGGCUCGCGUCCGAUUAGAUAGUUGGUGAGGUAACGGCUCACCAAGUCGACGAUCGGUAGCCGGACUGAGAGGUUGAACGGCCACAUUGGGACUGAGAUACGGCCCAGACUCCUACGGGAGGCAGCAGUGGGGAAUAUUGGGCAAUGGGCGCAAGCCUGACCCAGCAACGCCGCGUGAAGGAAGAAGGCUUUCGGGUUGUAAACUUCUUUUAAGAGGGAAGAGCAGAAGACGGUACCUCUAGAAUAAGCCACGGCUAACUACGUG
rnacentral:rRNA from 1 species